AGUGAACGCUGGCGGCAGGCCUAACACAUGCAAGUCGAACGGCACCACAGUAAGAGCUUGCUCUUACGUGUGGCGAGUGGCGGACGGGUGAGGAAUACAUCGGAUUCCCCUUUUUCGGGGGGGAUAACGUAGGGAAAUUUACGCUAACCCCACAUACGACCUACGGGUGAAAGCAGGGGAUGUUCGGACCUUGCGCGAUUGAAUGAGCCGAUGUUGGAUUAGUUAGUUGGCGGGGUAAAGGCCCACAAAGGCGACGAUCCGUAGCUGGUCUGAGAGGAUGAUCAGCCACACUGGAACUGAGACACGGCCCAGACUCCUACGGGAGGAAGCAGUGGGGAAUAUUGCACAAGGGGCGCAAGCCUGAUCCAGCCAUACCGGGUGGGUGAAGAAGGCCUUCGGGUUGUAAAGCCAUUUUGGUGGGAAAGAAGAGCAGCAGGUUAAUACCCCGCUGUACUGACGGUACCCAAAGAAUAAGCACCGGCUAACUUCGUG
rnacentral:rRNA from 1 species